UUAUGUCCAAUUUGCCAGUACUGCAGUUUGUGUGUAGUGAGGUGUUUUCAUGGUGUUUUAUUGGUGCUUUUACUAAAGGAAGGCUUCUAUCAAAUUCUUCCAAAUGUUGUCAAACUGAGCUGUGUGAUGAAGUGAGUGUGACAGAAACACUCAGACUGUGUUUCUCUGCUUCAUCAAGUCAAAUCUGGUCCUCAGAGACUGAAUAAAGUCCUGUCCCACUAACAGCAGCUCCAACAGUCUGUUCACUGCUUUCUUCCUGUCAGUCUUCAUCUUUCUGCUGCGUCUCCUCUUCACACUGACCACUUUCUAUCUAACAGUGAGCUCCCAGUGAAGCAGCAGCAUUCAGCCUGUUAGAGUCAACACAAAUGUCUCCAUCCAAGCUCAUGUUGUGCUUUGUUGUCCUCUCAGUCCCCCAGGUGGAGGUGGAUUCAGGGGUGGAGUCUGUCCAGCUGCCCUUCAACACCACACUUCACCUGCCUGAAGACGCUAAAGUGGAGUGGAAGAAUAAUUACGAUACAAAAGUCCACAUGUAUGAGAACGGCUCUGACCAGCCUGAAGAACAGCACCAGUUUUACAGAGACCGAACGAAGAUGAAUGAAGACCUGCUGAAAACUGGAGACCUCAGUCUGACCCUGAAACACCCCACAGAAACAAAGACCUACACCUGCACCGUCUACAGCAGGGAGGGAAACAUCCUGCUGAAGAGAAAGGUGGAGCUGAAAGUCAGAGUCUGUCAGGUGGAGGUGGAGGAGGGGGCGGAGUCUGUCCAGCUGCCCUUCAGAACCACACAAAACCUGCCUGAAGAUGCUGAAGUGGAGUGGGAACGUGAAGAACCUGAACCAUCACUGAUGGUCCACCUGUAUAUGAACGGCUCUGACCAGCCUCACAGUCAGGACCAGGUUUACAGAGACCGAACGAAGAUGAAUGAAGACCUGCUGAAAACUGGCGACCUCAGUCUGACCCUGAAACACCCCACAGAGAGAGACAGUGGAGAAUACAGAUGUGACCUUGACAGUGGGAACAUUUGGAGAUACAAAAAAGUGCUGCUCAAAGUCAAAGGGAGAGUUCAGGUCCAGGAUCAAACAGGGGACAUCAGGAACAGAAGCAGCUCCAUUGAUCCGACUCCUCUGAUGGCUGAUCAAUCAGUUUGAUCUGUGUGUUCUUUGAUUAUUGAUCAGUGAUGUCAGAGUGGAGUCAGUGUGAUGUUGUUGUUGUGUGUUUGAGACUUUUAGUGUCCAUGAAGGUCUCUGCUGCCGUAGAUCCUCUGAACUGUGACAGAGGUCUCACUCUGGAGGAAACUCUCAGCACUUUCCAGCAGCUCCUCCAUCAUGGAGGACGUUCCCUCACUGUAACAGGUGGAGGAGAGAGGAGAGGAAGCACAGGUGGAUCCUCUGAGGAAGAGGAGCGUUCCUACAAACCACAUGAUCACAUGACCAGAGGGGCGUGGCCUUCAGUGGUAGUAAUAAAGGAACAGUCCACAUGUUCCACUUUGAAGGCUCAUCUCCAACAAAGCAGACCUGUGAUCACUUUAACUCAGUAUGAUGGAUUGUUUGGAUUUGUCUUUGUUUCUCUGGCUUUUCUUGUGUGUCUGUGUGUCUUUGUAUGUUGGAUAGAGUCAUGUGACCUGCCCAGGGACUACACAUGGAAAUGAGCAGUUUAGCUCAAAUCUGGCAGGUUUCCAUCUUCUGUUUUUAUCCUGAUGUCCAUGAACAUGAACUCUGUCCCUGUCAAAUAAAUCCAGAUACAAAGAUCAGAUCUACUGAGCAUCAUCAGCGUGUCAGCCGCUAACUGCAUCUUCAAAUAAAUAAAUGUGUCUGAUCAGCGGUGAUAAGAGGAGAGACGCUGAGCGAGUGACAUGAAAAAGACCUUCAUUUAUCUGAAUUUCAGAGUUUUUAAUGAAUUACUGCAUAAACACUUAAAUUACUGUCUGAGCUGCUGCAGUUUACUUCUGCAUCCACUGGGUGUCAGUAAAGCUGCAGGUGCCUCACCUGGUGUCCAACUGUGGGGAAACAGUCCAGCUGCUAACACCACCUAAAGGUCAAAGUUAAUUCAGGGUGCAGUUUUGGCUCCAACACAUUCCAUGCUCGGUGUCCACUUUAUUAGGAACCUAUUCCUGCUGUAAAGCUGAAGAUUAUGUAAAAAUAUGACGAAUGAAAAUAAAAACCUUCUGAUCAACUAAUGUAGAACAAAUCAGUGAAUAAGAGACACUCAUAUCAUGCUGAUAUUCAACCAAUACCAACACUGCUGUCAGUACUAUUGAUCCAUGGCUUGAUACAGCCACUCAUAUCCUGGACCUGAACAAGCUUUAUAGAGGAGCUGGUGAUCACAGUGAGUAAAGUUGCAGCUACAAUGGCAGUGGACAAAUAACAGUUAUUAAUUUUCACAACACAUAAAAGGUAAUAACUGUUUGAAAAAUGUCUUUUUUCCUCCUUCCUCUGAUUAUUGUUUCAUGGAUGUUAUCAGUUACUGUUCUGAUGAGUUCACAGCAAACAUGAAGCAAAGGUCCUCCUCGUCAGUCGUGCCACUAAUGGAAUAUUCUCUCCGAACAGCCAACAGGACAAGGAGGACUCCAACCGACAGCUGGAAUCAAGUUCCACAAACAUCUUUUCACUUCUUACAACUUACAUCUCUGUCUCUGUUUGUUAUUUUUUUGCACUAAAAUGUUCAAUGAUCACACUGUUUUAGCCCAAUGUACAAAAUAAUUUUGGCUAAGGUUACUCACUUAAAGGUCAAGUUGGUCAAACAACCUUUUAUGUUUAUGUGUUAUUUUUUAAGAAGAAAAACUCCACUUUAUGUUGAAAUUUUUAUUGUUAUUAUUUAAAGGCAAUAUCAUUUUUAAAAUGUACUUAAAGCACUUAAAAUAGCACUUUAUUUUUAAGUCUGCCCAAUUUUCACCAGAAAUAUUAUUUUUGUUUCUCUGUUUUGAAUUGAAAUGCCAUUUAAAUGCUUUUUUAAGGAAAUUUUAACAAUAACCUGCAACACACCCCUCAUGAGCAUUAUUUGAAGUGGGUUUAAUAAACACAAAACAAUGUGGAGAGAAAUAUCCCAGCCAAACAUGAUCUCUGCCCAACAGCCGCCGCCCUGGCAUCUUAUAUACACACACACAGAAAGAAAGACCUUGUUUUCUGCUUAGCAGUCACCUAGAGAUUUACGUCCCUGAUAAGCAGGAGUCUCACUAUCUGUUUAAGUCUAAGGAGCAUGGAAAGAAAAAAGCGCAUGGACUUCCUUAAGUCGCUUAAAGACGUUUCACCUCUCAUCCAAGAAGCUUCUGCAGUUCUAGGGUCAAAUGGUGGUGAGUCCGAGAAAACGGGUGUAGGUCACAAUCAGCCAAGGUACCUUGGCUGAUAUAAUGUAAUAUAAAUGUUUUACAUGUGCUGCUGUUGUGUUGAUGGUGCAGAGAUGCUGCAAAGAGUGCUUGUGAUAUCGAGCACAAAGAUGUCUCCGUGCUUCAAGAUUCAAAGUGUUUAUUGUCAUGUGUCACAAGAGAAAAGGCAUUUCUUUGUGCAAUGAAAUCCUUUCUUUGCUGUCUGCCCACAGAUGCCAAUUAAUAUAUACAAUAGAAAUAGAACAUAUAAAUACAAAUAGUACAAAUAAAUAGCUGAAGAGAGAAAAGGAGACAAAAUAUGGAGAUUUGAAACAGAUGUGUGCAAAAGACCUAUAGCUUAAUAUGCUGGCUUAAUAUGUAAGAUGACCUGAUGUGCAACAAAAAUUAUUAUUACUGUUCAAAAUAGGUCAGCUGUUCAAGAGUCUGAUGGCAGUGGGGAAGAAGGAGUUAGUGAGUCUGGAUGUUCUGGAUUUCAGA
ensembl:lncRNA